rnacentral:rRNA from 1 species
GACGAACGCUGGCGGCGUGCUUAACACAUGCAAGUCGAACGGAAAGGCCCUGCUUUUGUGGGGUGCUCGAGUGGCGAACGGGUGAGUAACACGUGAGUAACCUGCCCUUGACUUUGGGAUAACUUCAGGAAACUGGGGCUAAUACCGGAUAGGAGCUCCUGCUGCAUGGUGGGGGUUGGAAAGUUUCGGCGGUUGGGGAUGGACUCGCGGCUUAUCAGCUUGUUGGUGGGGUAGUGGCUUACCAAGGCUUUGACGGGUAGCCGGCCUGAGAGGGUGACCGGCCACAUUGGAACUGAGAUACGGCCCAGACUCCUACGGGAGGCAGCAGUGGGGAAUAUUGCACAAUGGGCGGAAGCCUGAUGCAGCAACGCCGCGUGCGGGAUGACGGCCUUCGGGUUGUAAACCGCUUUCGCCUGUGACGAAGCGUGAGUGACGGUAAUGGGUAAAGAAGCACCGGCUAACUACGUGCCAGCAGCCGCGGUGAUACGUAGGGUGCGAGCGUUGUCCGGAUUUAUUGGGCGUAAAGGGCUCGUAGGUGGUUGAUCGCGUCGGAAGUGUAAUCUUGGGGCUUAACCCUGAGCGUGCUUUCGAUACGGGUUGACUUGAGGAAGGUAGGGGAGAAUGGAAUUCCUGGUGGAGCGGUGGAAUGCGCAGAUAUCAGGAGGAACACCAGUGGCGAAGGCGGUUCUCUGGGCCUUUCCUGACGCUGAGGAGCGAAAGCGUGGGGAGCGAACAGGCUUAGAUACCCUGGUAGUCCACGCUGUAAACGGUGGGUACUAGGUGUGGGGUCCAUUCCACGGGUUCCGUGCCGUAGCUAACGCUUUAAGUACCCCGCCUGGGGAGUACGGCCGCAAGGCUAAAACUCAAAGGAAUUGACGGGGCCCCGCACAAGCGGCGGAGCAUGCGGAUUAAUUCGAUGCAACGCGUAGAACCUUACCUGGGUUUGACAUGGAUCGGGAGUGCUCAGAGAUGGGUGUGCCUCUUUUGGGGUCGGUUCACAGGUGGUGCAUGGCUGUCGUCAGCUAGUGUCGUGAGAUGUUGGGUUAAGUCCCGCAACGAGCGCAACCCUUGUUCACUGUUGCCAGCACGUUAUGGUGGGGACUCAGUGGAGACCGCCGGGGUCAACUCGGAGGAAGGUGGGGAUGACGUCAAGUCAUCAUGCCCCUUAUGUCCAGGGCUUCACGCAUGCUACAAUGGCUGGUACAGAGAGUGGCGAGCCUGUGAGGGUGAGCGAAUCUCGGAAAGCCGGUCUCAGUUCGGAUUGGGGUCUGCAACUCGACCUCAUGAAGUCGGAGUCGCUAGUAAUCGCAGAUCAGCAACGCUGCGGUGAAUACGUUCCCGGGGCU